rnacentral:rRNA from 1 species
AUUGAACGCUGGCGGCAGGCCUAACACAUGCAAGUCGAGCGGAGCGACAGACGGGUGAGUAAUGCCUAGGAAGUUGCCUGGUAGUGGGGGAUCACGUCCGGAACCGGGCGCUAAUACCGCAUACUAUCAGAUGAGCCUAGGUCGGAUUAGCUAGUUGGUGGGGUAAAGGCCUACCAAGGAGACGAUCCGUAACUGGUCUUAGAGGAUGAUCAGUCAACCUGGAACUGAGAAACGGUCCAGACGGCUACGGGAGGCAGCAGUGGGGAAUAUUGGACAAGGGGCGAAAGCCUGAUCCAGCCAAGCCGCGUGUGUGAAGAAGGUCUUCGGAUGGGAAAGCACUUUAAGUUGGGAGGCGUUACCAACAGAAUAAGCACCGGCUAACUUCGUGCCAGCAGCCGCGGUAAUUC